CCUGUUCUACACAUUUGUAAACGGAUGAUUUUUAUGAAAAAUAUUUUAUUUUUCAAAAUUUUUGCAUAAAAUUAGCUAGACAUUUAGUAGUGGUGUGAUCGUACAUUAAGCCCGACAAAAUAUGGUUAUGAGUUAUUUUUGAUUUUUAAAAUAUGGUUAUGGUUCCAUUUAAGAACUAAAACCAUAUUAACCAUUUUUAAUAUGGGUUGAAAUCAUAUGGUUAUGGUUAAAAACCAUAUUAACUCUUUUAAGAUGUUUUGACUUUUAAACAAAUUAUUUAAAAAAUAAAAU
rnacentral:lncRNA from 1 species